GGCACUAUAGUGUAGGGGUUAUCACUCAGGAUUUUGAUCUUAGGAUUUCCUGAAACCCAGGUUCGAACCCUGGUAGUGCCU